CCGAAUGCACUUUAAGUACUUAAAAAAAAGAUGUGCAUACUAAACACUAAAGAUUAUUUUGAAGUGAUAUUUGACACAGAUGUCACUGCCAAUCAUACCAACUUAGAAAACAAAUAUUUCGAUGAAUGGGUUUUCGCGCGAAAUUUAUAUUAAAAAGUCUUACUAUUUCUUCCCCUCAUGAAUAUAAAGUAUAAUAAACUCAUUUUUGCUUGUCUAUUCUUUGAAAAACAAACUAUUUCCUUCUUUCCAGCUUUACCUUGUAAACCUGAAAUGACGUCUAAUGUACUCUGCGGCACAAAGCCAGCUGACCAACUAGUUUCACCUUCAGUGGAUUCUUCAACCGCCUUCUCUUCCAAUCAUAAUUCACAUCAUAAUGCAGUUUGGUGGACGUACAUAUCUCCUUCAAGAAUUAUACAUGUUAUUUAGGUAACCCGAACGUUUGCGAACAUUGUCUCAUUACUUGAUAUAAAGUAGAAACGAAAGCAUUCCAUAUUACAGUGCCAGUAUCCCGAAUUAUGACCACUUCAGCUUACGUAACUCUGGAAUGUACAUAUAUAAGAAGACAAACUUGAGUUGCCUUUGAAGAUAUAAAGUAUAAGUAGUGGUAAUGAAACAAGCCAAAACAUCUGGUGCAUUUAUAAUACUACGUGGUGAAACAUUUCGUACCAAUCCGGUGACCAACAUACGAUUUGAAGAUACAACUGUCAAAAUGCGGUGAAUUCGUCCAAAUUCCGUCAGAUAUAAUAUAAACAUAAAGGAGUUGAAAACCUGUAUCACUCUUUGAAACGGAAAAUUUUAAAAGGAGCGCUAAUAGAUACCAUGCAGGUAUUAUUUAAAAAACAGAAUUACGGGAAGUAUUUUUUAAACUAACAUGACAACGAAGAUUCACAUAAGAAGAGUUGAUACAGCCAAAGCUUUCAACGUUGGAUAGAAUAGAGGAAUAAGAUGGAAAUAAUAAUAAAAACUAUUUAGUUAAGAGUGCUUGCAUGUUUAUAAUGCAAUAGCUUCCCCAAUUUAUUUUAAUUGGAGAUAUGUACGGGUAUGCUUGUAUAGAAAUAUGUACUGUUAAUGUAUAAAAUAUGUAUUUAUUUUUGUACUGAAUCGUUACAAGAAGAAAUAAUUACAUAAUAAAAUUUUUGAG